rnacentral:rRNA from 1 species
GACGAACGCUGGCGGCGUGCUUAACACAUGCAAGUCGAACGAUGAAGCCGGAGCUUGCUCUGGUGAAUUAGUGGCGAACGGGUGAGUAACACGUGAGUAACCUGCCCUUGACUCUGGGAUAACUGCGGGAAACUGUAGCUAAUACCGGAUACGACCCUCGGAGGCAUCUCCUGGGGGUGGAAAGAAUUUCGGUCAAGGAUGGACUCGCGGCCUAUCAGCUAGUUGGUGAGGUAAAGGCUCACCAAGGCGACGACGGGUAGCCGGCCUGAGAGGGUGACCGGCCACACGGGGACUGAGACACGGCCCAGACUACUACGGGAGGCGGCAGUGGGGAAUAUUGCACAAUGGGCGAAAGGCUGAUGCAGCAACGCCGCGUGAGGGAUGACGGCCUUCGGGUUGUAAACCUCUUUUAGCAGGGAAGAAGCGAAAGUGACGGUACCUGCAGAAAAAGCACCGGCUAACUACGUGCCAGCCGCCGCAGUAA